rnacentral:rRNA from 1 species
AGGCCUAACACAUGCAAGUCGAGGGGCAGCACAUAAAGUAUUUCGGUACUUUUGGUGGCGACCGGCGGAUGGGUGCGUAACGCGUAUGCAACCUGCCCUGAACAGGGGGAUAAUUCGGAGAAAUCUGGUCUAAUACCCCAUAAUAUCAGAACCGGCAUCGGUUUUGGUUGAAAGCUCCGGCGGUUCGGGAUGGGCAUGCGUGACAUUAGCUAGUUGGUGAGGUAAUGGCUCACCAAGGCUACGAUGUCUAGGGGGACUGAGAGGUUUACCCCCCACACUGGUACUGAGACACGGACCAGACUCCUACGGGAGGCAGCAGUGAGGAAUAUUGGUCAAAGGACGCAAGUCUGAACCAGCCAUGCCGCGUGCAGGAAGACGGCUCUAUGAGUUGUAAACUGCUUUUGUACGAGGGUAAACGCGGAUACGUGUAUCCGUUUGAAAGUACCGUACGAAUAAGGAUCGGCUAACUCCGUGCCAGCAGCCGCGGUAAUACGGAGGAUCCAAGCGUUAUCCGGAUUUAUUGGGUUUAAAGGGUGCGUAGGCGGUUUGUUAAGUUAGAGGUGAAAUUCCGUGGCUCAACCACGGCCCUGCCUCUGAUACUGACAGGCUAGAGAGAAGUUGCUGUGGGCGGAAUGUGUGGUGUAGCGGUGAAAUGCUUAG